GGUGGUUCUUGGGUGACACACCCCGGAAUCAAGCUCCCUCCUUUCUGGUUCUGGGUGUGUUACCUGAGAACCCA
rfam:Myotis brandtii contig217908, whole genome shotgun sequence.